rnacentral:sRNA from 1 species
UUUAUUUUGAUAAAUGUGACCAAUAAGGAGAAGCCACGUCAGAUGAUAUUGGUAUCACAAAUAUCACUGGAUUGAUACUAAUCAAUCUCAUUCUAAUUAUUUUGGU